AGUGAACGCUGGCGGCAGGCCUAAUACAUGCAAGUCGAACGGCAGCACAGCAGAGCUUGCUCUGUGGGUGGCGAGUGGCGGACGGGUGAGGAAUACAUGGGAAUCUGCCCAGUCGUGGGGGAUAACGUAUGGAAACGUACGCUAAUACCGCAUGCGCCCUACGGGGGAAAGUCGGGGACCGCAAGGCCUGGCGCGAUUGGAUGAGCCCAUGUUCGAUUAGCUAGUUGGCGGGGUAAAGGCCCACCAAGGCGACGAUCGAUAGCUGGUCUGAGAGGAUGAUCAGCCACACUGGAACUGAGACACGGUCCAGACUCCUACGGGAGGCAGCAGUAGGGAAUAUUGGACAAUGGGGGCGAACCCUGAUCCAGCCAUGCCGCGUGAGUGAAGAAGGCCCUCGGGUUGUAAAGCUCUUUUGUCCGGAAGAAAAGCAAUCGGUUAAUACCCGGUUGUUCUGACGGUACCGGAAGAAUAAGCACCGGCUAACUUCGUGCC
rnacentral:rRNA from 1 species